rnacentral:rRNA from 1 species
CCUACGGGAGGCAGCAGUGGGGAAUAUUGCGCAAUGGGCGAAAGCCUGACGCAGCGACGCCGCGUGAGGGAUGAAGGUCUUCGGAUCGUAAACCUCUGUCAGCAGGGAAGAACGGGCACUGUGCUAAUCAGCAGUGAAUUGACGGUACCUGCAAAGGAAGCACCGGCUAACUCCGUGCCAGCAGCCGCGGUAAUACGGAGGGUGCGAGCGUUAAUCGGAAUUACUGGGCGUAAAGCGCUCGUAGGCGGUAUGUCAAGUCAAGGGUGAAAUCCCCGCGCUCAACGUGGGCACUGCCUUUGAAACUGGCAAACUGGAGUGUAGGAGAGGAUAGUGGAAUUCCAGGUGUAGGAGUGAAAUGCGUAGAUAUCUGGAGGAACAUCAGUGGCGAAGGCGACUAUCUGGCACAUAACUGACGCUGAGGAGCGAAAGCGUGGGUAGCAAACAGGAUUAGAUACCCGGGUAGUC